ensembl:snRNA LOC120101219 U7 small nuclear RNA
GAGCGAACACUGAUCUUUUAGACUUUUUCUAACAGGAUUUCUGACCUUGGUUGGAAAACCCAC